rnacentral:rRNA from 1 species
CAAUAGCGUAUAUUAAAGUUGUUGCGGUAAAAAAGCUCGUAGUUGGAUUUCUACCGAAGAUAGCCGGUCGGGUCUUCGACCUUGUAUCUGGUUUUGUCUUUGGUAUCCUCAUAGGGAACGUUUCUGCGCUUUAUUGCGUGGUGCGGUAUCUAUGACUUUUACUUUGAGGAAAUUAGAGUGUUCACGGCAGGCAAACGCCUUGAAUAUAUUAGCAUGGAAUAAUAACAUAGGAUCUUCGUCCUAUUUUGUUGGUUUCUAGGGCUAAGAUAAUGAUUAAUAGGGAUAAUUGGGGGCAUCAGUAUCAACGCGUCAGAGGUGGAAUUCUUGGAUUGCGUUGCGACAAACUACUGCGAAAGCAUUUGCCAAGGAUGUUUUCAUUGA